rnacentral:misc_RNA from 1 species
UUUCCGUAGGUGAACCUGCGGAAGGAUCAUUACGGAGUUCAUGCCCUCACGGGUAGAUCUCCCACCCUUGAAUAUUUAUACCUUAGUUGCUUUGGCAGGCCGUGGAAACACCAUGGGCUCCGGCUUAUGCGUGCCUGCCAGAGGAAACAAACUCUGUUUUUAGUGAUGUCUGAGUACUAUAUAAUUGUUAAAACUUUCAACAACGGAUCUCUUGGUUCUG